CAGUCGCCGCGGGAAUACGGAGGAUCCAAGCGUUAUCCGGAAUCAUUGGGUUUAAAGGGUCCGUAGGCGGUCUUGUAAGUCAGUGGUGAAAGCCCAUCGCUCAACGGUGGAACGGCCAUUGAUACUGCAGGACUUGAAUUAUUGGGAUGUAACUAGAAUAUGUAGUGUAGCGGUGAAAUGCUUAGAGAUUACAUGGAAUACCAAUUGCGAAGGCAGGUUACUACCAAUUGAUUGACGCUGAUGGACGAAAGCGUGGGUAGCGAACAGGAUUAGAUACCCGGGUAGUCCCUGUCUCUUAUAC
rnacentral:rRNA from 1 species